UACGAACUGUGCGAACGUUAUUCGGAAUCACUGGGCUUACAGGGUGCGUAGGCGGCUUGUUAAGUGGGGGGUGAAAUCGCCCGGCUUAACUGGGCGGGGGCCUUCCAGACGGCGUGGCUUGAGCAGCGGAGGGGGACGUGGAAUUCCGGGUGGAGCGGUGAAAUGCGUAGAGAUCCGGAGGAACACCGACGGCGCAGGCAGCGUCCGGGCCGCUUGCUGACACUGAGGCACGAAAGCUGGGGGAGCAAACAGG
rnacentral:rRNA from 1 species